UUCAACUAUAAAUGAUAUUAUUCUUUUUAAAAUAAAUUAAUAUCAAAAUGACACAAACGAAAGAUCGAGUAAAGACAAAAGAAACCAAAAGGCUUCUCAUAUUUUCCCACAAACUAAUUACGUAGUUGUCAUCAUGUCGUUAAGCUUACAAAAUUACAAGCUAAAUAUUGAUAAGCAAGCAUGUCUUUCUCGUGUCCUGGAAAUUUGUUUUACUUGCUGACUCUUGAUAUAAUCUGCACAGACAAACAAACAAACACGCAAACAUAUGAUAUAUAUUUGAGAUUUAGAGGAUGAGAAGUGCAACUUGGUUAAGGAUAACCUCAGAGGUUCUUUGGAUGAUAUCUCGGACUUCUCAUCAUUUCAUCAUGCCGAGCUUACCAACUCUCAAAUUUAAAAAUAAAAAUAAAAAGGAUUUAAUUUUUAUAUACUAAAUAUAUAAAUUGGUCUACCUUGCCUUCCUUGGAAGUUCUACCUAAGAUUAAUCAAAUGUCUUCAAAGCCAAAAAAUGUGGAGAGCAAAAACAAGCUCUUUUAGAGUGGAUUCACAUCUAUAGCAGGAUUAAAGAAUUUAAGAGUAGAACAAAUUAAAUAAAGGACAAUCAAAAAGUACCUGAGAUAUAUAUGUAUGAACCUUUGAACAUAUAUAAUAGAAUUGAUGAAAUUAAAAUGAAGCUCAUUUAUGUCUUGUAUUGUUGGUGAGUGAUUGAAGCUGCUAGAUGACCUGAUGAAACUAAACAAAGCCCAAAUCCUUUCAAAUAUAGCGUCCAACCAUCUGAGAGAAGGAAAUAGAUUAUGGUCGUCUGAAUUACCAGAUCAUGCUGGCAGCUUCAACCUCUCAAACCAACAUACGAAUAUGGAUAAGAGGAAGAGGAAAAACUACCUCUUCCAUUUGGCUGAUGGCAUAUAUAACAGAUGCACACAAACCAUGCAUGGAUAUAUACUUUGGCGUUUGCACAAAAAUUGAAGGAUGUACCCCAUAACUUUCCUCAUCUACUAGGAGUAUAUACUAAUUAUAAAUGCACCUCUUUCUAGAUUUU
rnacentral:lncRNA from 1 species